UUCCUGAAACAGGGCCCUGUUCCCCUGAGUCUGGCAGUGAGGUGUGGAGAGAACACGAGUGCCGAAGAGGAGUGUGAUUUGGACCCGUUUCCCCUCCAUCCUUGGAAAUCCCUCUCCGAUUGUAAAUAAACUUGUGACUUUCAUUCUAAAUUCAGCUGGUCUGCGUCCAAGUCCGUUCCACCUGCGUGAGACUGGAUCUGAAUUUCAAGUGUGAAAGGAGCUCAUGCAGACAUAAACCGGUGGUGGGAAGUGACAAUAUGAUGAUGUGAAGGUCUGUCAGCCAUAGUAUGGCUGAAGACAGAGUGAUAGAGACCUCAUCUGACCCCAGACCCAUCCCCUCCCAGGCAGGAACCCUACAGACAAGAGAGAGGGACAAUGGAUAGAGAAUACGCACUGAGCUAACUAUCAUAAAGCCAUAAAAGGCACUUUCACCAAAUAUUAGAGAAAACUCCAGUUCAUUCACUUGUUAAAUUGGUGGAGUUAUAGUUGGAAUAAACAACAGAGAUCAGGAUCCAAAGAUGCUGAGGAUGCUACAUAGGAAAGCUCAGUCUGCUGUCCCUGUUGCUGAUGUGUUUUGGGGUUUGACACCUUUAAAACUGGAGUGUUAUAUAAAAAUCUGUAAUUAUUCAUUCUGAAUGAUUCUGAGACAUCACAGUAGUUUAUCUCAACUAAUUAACAUUACCGUAGUAUACUUUGGUAAGAGGUAGCUGAAGUGGUUUUACAUGGAUCCAGUGUCGCAUGUGAAAAUAGUCUAUUUAAGCAGACACAUACUUGAGGCAUCAUUCCCCUGGAGGAAAACAUUCAAGUCUAAAGCUCAGUGAAGACUGCUUCAUAAGACUGAAUAAUUGGUUAAGCCUCCGUCAUUCUUGCUGUGAGAGGCUGCACACAAACACACAGGCAGACUGUUUGAAGUCUUGAUUUCCUGAUGUAUUUGGAAAUUCAGCUUUCAAUUUCAAACACUGUCACUUCAAUAUGCAACCAAUUUCUGGGUGCAGCCCCCCCAUGCAUGAUAAGCCACUGCACUCUUUAAAGCUUAAAUCAUCAACAUACUUAUGGAAAAGGCUAAAUGCAAAUUUGUUGUCUGACCUACAUUUGGCUUUGUUCCCUCCAGCACUUGAAUGAUUUAAAGGUUCCUUUUGGGAUAUUUACAACAAUCUCAGAAUUAUAUGUGAUGCAGCAAAGAAAGGUCUUUAUUUGUAAUUAUUGAUAUUAGCAUGUGAUUGUGUAAGACGUAAACUAUAUGACAGAGGCAAGACCUUUUAGGACCAGUUUGUGUAAACUAAACAUCACAGUGGCUAAGAUGGUUGAAAUCUACAUACGAAUGUAGACGUAUGAUCAGAAACUUACUGUAAUGAACAUAGAUAAGGGGAUCUAGAUAUCCAGAGACAUAUAACCACCAUAUCUAGCUGCUUCUUCGCUGUGCAGAGUGCUGACCAUGGGGUUAUUGCUAAAUUUCUCUGGUUUCUCUGUACAGACAGGCCAAAAUUUGUUGAGAAAAAUUGCAAUUUUUUAAGUUAUACAUUUAAAAUUAUGGACUGGUUCUUAUUUGUGCUUUUGAGCACUACAGCGCUUUACACAACUUGGCCCCAGGGCAGCUGUGGCUACAACUGUAGCUGCCUCCACCAGUGUGUGAAUGUGUGUGUGAAUGGGUGGAUGACUGGGUGUGUAAAGCGCUUUUGGGUCCCUAGGGGGGACUAGUAAAAAUCGCUAUACAAAUACAGGUCAUUUACCAUUUUACCAUUUGUGCAUUAAUCUAUUCACACAAGCACAUUUUCUAAGUGCUUUCUAAUUAACAUUCACACACACAUUCAUACUCCCAUCGAUGCAUCGGAGAGCUGAAACCUACCACCGGAGCAACAGCCACCCCUGAAUAGUGAAUAAUAAUUACAGUGAAUAGUUAUGAUAGCUGUAAUUGCUUUAUAAUUGUAGUGAACAAAAGCCACUGAGUAACCGCUAAGGGCCUCUAUACUACUUGUGCAAACUUUUCAGGAGCCCAGAAUAAACGGGACAAGAGGGUCAAUAUCAGCCAGGAUACGUUAAAGUUUAUUAUUUGAAAUGAAAAAAAAAAAAAGGUUUGCAAUAGGCCUAAUGCGAGAUGCGAGUGAGGCUCUGGUGCAUGUCUUUGAGGUGAGCUGUGCAAAACGUAGCUUUUUGUUUUUGGGUUUUUUGUUUGUUUUUAUUUAUUUAUUUUUGUGACUUUGUGCUGCUUCUGAUGAGUGCCAAAGUGUUUCAUAUUCACAUGCUGUAUGUUCUAAUCCUUCAAAGGUACCUAAAACAUAUUUUGGGAAUGCGGAUUCUCACAGGUUAGAUCUCUGUGGCCAGUAAAUACAAACAUGUAUUAUGUUGUAGCAGAUUUUAUCACCUCAAUGAUAACCAAUUAAAUGUAGCCUUGGUUUUCUGUUUUUCAGGAAGGCUAGACAUAUGUGAACAAUAAUUGCAUUGAGAAUAAUUAAAAAUAGCAAAUUCAGAUGUAGUUUCUCACAACUUCAACUUUUGUUGUAAUUUAGCUUUAGCUUUGUGUUGAAACAAAAGUGCAUCGUCCUUACAAAAGUAUGUCUGUGUUAUGUGUUAAAGGACCAAGAAGACCCUAAUACCUAUUUGAUGAAACGUCCUCUCUCCUGCCCAGUGCUGAUCGGGAGUCCGUCCAACUGCAUCCUAGCGGUAGGAGAUGUGCCAAUAACCACGUUUCCAAAAGACGAGGUUACGGAGGGUUCUUUAUACCUUAUGGCCUACUAUUAUACCCUACACCUUACAUACCCAAAGUGUGUAGCCUCUCCGCUGUCCGUCAUACAGACAGAGGUUCUCUUGGACAAAAUCCAUGAGCGAGAUCUCACAUCAUCUUACAAGAAGAGCAUGGCUGACUGGAAUGCUUUUAUUGGCCAGUAGAGCCAGUGUGGUUAAGAUGUGGACUAUAGGAAAACACUUCUUCUCUCCUUCCAAGGCUACUACAGUCCAUGUUGGUUGUGAUUGAUUUUUGUUUGGAAAUUGGCCAGGUUAGCCCAGUUUUAUAAUUAAGGGUGCACGAUAAUAUCGGCGAACAUGCCGAUGUUUUAUGUUUGGUUUGUGCAGUGCAGAGACUGCCUAGCUUUUAGUUGAUUUUAAAGGGUUUUUUUAAUGUUGAGUUUAGGCUACAGUCUAUUCAGCAGACAGGCUGCGUGCAUCCUUAAUGAUCAUUUUACAAUGGUAUCGUUUGAAGAAUGAUGUCAAAUGUCCAUGUUAAUUUAAAUGAUAAAAACACUUUGUAUUAAUAACAAAUGUUACAGGUUGAGCAGUUAGUCUGCCUAGCAGUGUGUUUGUCUGUGCUUUGAAUUGUGCCUGUGCAAUGCACAGAUUUUACUGGUGUAUUAAGGGCCGAACAAAAAGUCACUGCAAAACGGCUUCUUUAAUGCAGUCCUCUGUUUAUGGGGCUUUACCAAUGAAGUUGCUGCGCUUUUUUUCACUUAUUUCAAGCUCUUGUAUGAAGUUUUUUUUUCUUGUUUUUGAAGGGCCAUUUUUUCCAGUGCAGGGGCAUUGAUCAAGGGUGGAGAUUAAGUAUGUACACAGUGACAUUCAGAUAUUUUAAUGGUAUCAGCUAAAAUUAAAAAUAAGGCAAAACAAAGAGUUAAGGUUGUGAUUCGCUCCCACCGGGCACACCCUUUAAUUCUAGGGACGGAUUGACCUGGGUUUGAAAAACCGGUGGGGCAAUGUGUGGGCGUGCUCAUGACUGAUAGGGACCUGUUGUAUCUGUGCUGCGCUCAGUGGUGACAUGAGGUCAUCCUACAGUGAGGACGGGGAGGGUGGGAUCUGUGAGGUGGAUUCUAGGCAGCAGUUUUAGGCAAACAGCAGAAGGACUGAUAACUGUGUUGAUUUUGUAGGGGCUGAUGAAGUGUGGAGCCAGUUUCCUGGAAACAGACAUUAGAGGAAUGUCCACAGAUAACUAAACCUUUUGGCCCUGACGAUAGUGAGGGGUCAGAGUCUGAUGACGAUUGGCCAGUGUGUGGUUCUGCGCCACAGUGAGGAGCGUAGACCUGUCUCCCUACCUGACAACAUCUGUACAGCUGUUGGUGCACCGAAGGCACAGCUAGUUCCUCCUACAAGGCGGGUUGAGCCCAGCCUAGAAAAACCUCAAAAAGGAUUGCAAGUAUCCAGGAGGACACUACAGGGCCCAGUUCAGUAGUGGGCAACCAAGUGCCAGACCAGGAAGAGCAGGAGGAUGUGGGCCAGCCGGAGCCAAGAGCGGACAAAAGAAAGAAGGACAGGGAGGAUGAAUUUGUUGAAUUAAUAAGAGGACAUGAGAAAGCAAAGAGAAACGGAGGAAGGAAGAGCCGAGAGAAUGGACAGGCUGUUAGGUGUCCUGGAAAAUCCCGUUGAAAAGAAAAAUGAUAAAAGUCACUGUACAUAUUUCCACUUUAUGUUUUUGUUACAAACUAUGUUCUGCAUAAACAAAAGGAUUGAAGUUUGGAAAUCUUCCAGCUGUAUUUGCAUUAUUUUCUCAAACUAUGUACAACAAUUUAUUUGUACCUGACCUAUUAAAUUAUCCAAACUGAGAAAAUAACAGUGUAAAUAAAAAGCCAACAGGAUUAUUA
ensembl:lncRNA